rnacentral:rRNA from 1 species
UACGUAGGUGGCAAGCGUUGUCCGGAUUUACUGGGCGUAAAGAGCGCGCAGGCGGUCGAAUAAGUCGAAUGUGAAAGCCCCCGGCUUAACUGGGGAGGGUCAUUCGAUACUGCUCGACUUGAAGGCAGGAGAGGGUAGUGGAAUUCCCGGUGUAGUGGUGAAAUGCGUAGAUAUCGGGAGGAACACCAGUGGCGAAGGCGACUACCUGGCCUGUUCUUGACGCUGAGGCGCGAAAGCUGGGGGAGCAAACGGGGAUUAAGAUGACCCUGGUAGUCCC